rnacentral:rRNA from 1 species
UACGUAGGGUGCGAGCGUUAAUCGGAAUUACUGGGCGUAAAGCGUGCGCAGGCGGCUUUGCAAGACAGAUGUGAAAUCCCCGGGCUCAACCUGGGAACUGCAUUUGUGACUGCAAGGCUAGAGUGUGGCAGAGGGGGAUGGAAUUCCGCGUGUAGCAGUGAAAUGCGUAGAUAUGCGGAGGAACACCGAUGGCGAAGGCAAUCCCCUGGGCCUGUACUGACGCUCAUGCACGAAAGCGUGGGGAGCAAACAGG